rnacentral:rRNA from 1 species
CAGUUAACUGCGCGUCAUAGUGUGAACUGCAGGACACAUUUGAACAUCGACAUUUCGAACGCACAUUGCGGUCCGUGGAGACACAUCCAGGACCACUCCUGUCUGAGGGCCGGCUGUAUAAAAACAUAUACCAC